AAUAGCUCAGUUGGUUAGAGCACCUGACUGUUAAUCAGGGGGUCGCAGGUUCAAGUCCUGCUU
rnacentral:tRNA from 3 species